UCCUUCAUUCCUCUUCCUCACCGAAAACCCGUGCGUCCUUUUUCCUUCCCCGUCGCGACCGUACCCUAACCACUUGGCGGUUCUCCUCCUCCCUUCUUCCCUUCUUCUUUUCUUCCCCCAACAGACCUCAUUAUGCCCUAACUCCUGGUCACCUUCUUCUCGCUCGGAGCAGCGCCGCCGCCACUUCUUCUUCUCUUCUCCUAAGCGCCGACGACGCUUGCGCCAGCCGUGCCCUAGAUCCACCGCCGGCCGCAACUCACAAAGCCGACGACGAGCAGUGCCGGUCCUCCCUCUUUUGUUUCCCGAUUUCCCCUUCCCUCCUCUGUGCUGAAUCCUAGUGCCCAACGCCACCUUGCCAGCCGAGUUUGAUCUGUGCUCUAGUUUCCAGAUGCCGAGUUCUUCCUCUCACUGAUUGGAAUAGCGUUAUAUGGCAGAUUAGUUUUUUAUAAUCUACUGUGGUUAAUCUUGUUUUAGCUAAGGGUUUUUAAGGAGAAGGUGUCAAGUAAGGGGGAUUCCAGUCAAGUGUUGCGCACUGUGGGGAAGAUUUCAGCAAGGAGGUUUUGCUGUGGUAUACCUUGUUUCCAGCAACAGUUACUUCGUCCAGCAGUAACUUUCCUGGCCUGUGGUGUAACAGGAGCAGCUGAGAAGUAAGGACUUUGACGCGAGACGCGUAUCUUGACUACCAGUUUGGACCUUUUUUUAUUGGAGGCGGGUACUUUUGACUUAUUGUCUUUGAUAUGCAUAGUAAUGAAAUUAACAAGUUACAUUAAUUAUGUUCCUCAUUUGUUUCGGUUAAUCACUACCCGAUUGCCUGUUACCUGCUUGAUUGAUUGUAUGUUUUGCAUUUCGAGUGGUUAUGUACCUGAUUACACAUGCUCAUAGGGGUAGUGAUAUAACCAUGUUUCCCAUGUUCAGGACCUAGGUUUGAUAUCUUAUUUGAUCAGUGUACUUUGAUAUGAUUUGUUCACUAUAGCGCACAUCAUUAUAUGUCCAUAGAUCGGUUUAGUAUAAUACCAUGCUUAGUGUUAUGCACCAUUCGCAUGAUUGCAUGCUGUGUGAUAGAUUGCUCCAUUAUUGUCGAGCACAUUACCAGUUUCAUCACUGUUCGGUGCUCCGUUGUGACGCUCAUGGGUAGCGUGACGCAGCGUGGU